rfam:Streptomyces sp. NRRL WC-3618 P435contig109.1, whole genome shotgun sequence.
AACGACCGGCUGGACACUUGCGUGCCCGGCCCACAAGUGGAGGCUCCGAUCUCCCACCCGACCGCCCUCACGGACGGCGGGUCACCCGGUCAGACGGCCACCAUCGUUCCGUACGGACGAUGGAGUCGUCCGAUGUGCGCCCCGCGGUUGACCGCGGCGGUGCUCCGGUAUGCCUUUGGAGCCCCGCCUGUGUCCCGUCGGGGCAUUUUUU